rnacentral:rRNA from 1 species
UGAGGAAUAUUGGUCAAUGGGCGAGAGCCUGAACCAGCCAAGUAGCGUGCAGGACGACGGCCCUAUGGGUUGUAAACUGCUUUUAUAUGGGGAUAAAGUGAGCUACGUGUAGUUUAUUGCAGGUACCAUAUGAAUAAGGACCGGCUAAUUCCGUGCCAGCAGCCGCGGUAAUACGGAGGAUGCGAGCGUUAUCCGGAUUUAUUGGGUUUAAAGGGUGCGCAGGCGGCGCGAAAAGUCAGCGGUCAAAGUUCCGGGCUCAACCCGGUGACGCCGUUGAAACUUUCGUGCUGGAGUUCGUGCGAGGGAGGCGGAAUGCGUUGUGUAGCGGUGAAAUGCAUAGAUAUGACGCAGAACCCCGAUUGCGAAGGCAGCUUUCCAGCACGCGACUGACGCUGAGGCACGAAAGCGUGGGGAGCGAACA